GCACCACAUGGAACAAUCCUUACACGUUUCUCCUUUUGAGAAGGGCAGAUGAGAAUGCAAUGGCUAGGAUUGCCUCCAUCUGUGAUUAUGACUCCUGUCUAAUCAGGACUUAGAAAUCCUGAUGGCCCUUACCUGAU
rnacentral:snoRNA from 1 species